UCAUUAACUUAAAACAAUGAUGCACUGAUGUUAUCUCGCAUUUCUAAGCUUAAUUUGCUACAUAACAAGGCCUAACCCCAACUUAGGGUAAAGUAACGAAUUCUAUUCUGUAUUCCACUUUGUUGGGUUAUAGUUUUCUGAUGAAAAAAAGCUUCAUUGCAUUUUGUCACUAACUUAACCCACCUAUAUUGUUGGUCUCCGCUUUGUGUCUAUUGCACCUCAUAGCAAGGGAAAAGAAAAUGAAAGUAAAGGAAAAUCUAUCUGUUUCUUUUCAUGAUUUUACUCUAUGUUGCACAUUAAAGUUGUCUUGUCCUUUUGUCCCCACAUGGUUGCUAUAUUUUCCAAUAAUGCUAUAUUUUCCAAUAAAGCAUUCAUUUUCUGUUAAAUCUUUGCUUACUUCUCACCCAUUUAAGAUUCUUAAUUUCUUAUAUAAUCAUUUUAUACAUAUGUUUUGGAGCCAAUGAACAGUUUGUAUCAUGAAGCUGUUCAGCUUAGUAGGUACAAAGUAAUGUCCUCUUAGUGGAAACUGGAAUAGAGAUACAUUUGUAUUUAUUGAUUUAUUUAUUUAUUUUUGCGUUAGAUUGUAGGGAGGAAUGGCUUAUCUUUAUGCAUGUAAAACCACUGUUCUUUUUAUUGGCUAUAUUGUUUUUUUUCCCUUUUAUAUAUUUCAAAAUCAAACAAUGCAUUUCAUUGAAUUACAAACGUGUGGAGCAAUGAGAAUGCAUUUCAGUGAAAUAUACUGUUCUUUUUAUGCAAGUCGUGGGAUCUAAUGAGAAUGCAAUAUUCAGGGCACGCAGCCAGGUUUUUGAUUGUAACUCUAUGCUUUCAAUUCUGCACAAACUUCUAACUUAUAUAUUCUAUUAAUUGGUUCCCAUAUUUGUUGUAAAAGUUGUUCCAAACUUCUAAGUGGUGAUCCUCAUGUUCGUCUAAUGGGUUCUUUCUCAGAUAUUCUUGAUUCAUGGAGUAAAUCCACCAAGGCACCAAGCCUAGAGACCCUGUUCUUAUGUUGCAAGUGUAGGAUUGCCAGAAUUAAGUUAUAGUGGAUACCAGCGACAUGCCUAUAUUUGGGAUGAUUAUCCUUCACUUCAAGAUAUCUUGGAUGUGAGAUAAAGGUAGCAACAACUAUGUGGGUUGGCAUUCUGAUGAUGAAAGCUUUAUGGUUCAACCUCGGAAAUUGCAUCUAUUUCUUUUUGGUUGUGAACGUGAGUUCUUCUUGAAGAGAAAACCUAGUAAAGCGUCCCAAGCAUGGAUCAAUGUUCGUGAUGAGAGGCUGCACUUGGAGAGACUGGGUCCACUUAGUCCCCUAGUGUGCUAAAGGAGAUGCAACCCGCAUUAACCUCACCUUCAGGCAUGCUAUUCGAUGGGCUGUUGGAUAAGGGGGAUAGGUAAUUCAUCGUCAAGCGUCUAUUCUAUU